rnacentral:rRNA from 1 species
AAGUCGAACGGUAACAGGUCUUCGGAUGCUGACGAGUGGCGAACGGGUGAGUAAUACAUCGGAACGUGCCCGAGAGUGGGGGAUAACGAAGCGAAAGCUUUGCUAAUACCGCAUACGAUCUCAGGAUGAAAGCAGGGGACCGCAAGGCCUUGCGCUCACGGAGCGGCCGAUGGCAGAUUAGGUAGUUGGUGGGAUAAAAGCUUACCAAGCCGACGAUCUGUAGCUGGUCUGAGAGGACGACCAGCCACACUGGGACUGAGACACGGCCCAGACUCCUACGGGAGGCAGCAGUGGGGAAUUUUGGACAAUGGGCGCAAGCCUGAUCCAGCCAUGCCGCGUGCAGGAUGAAGGCCUUCGGGUUGUAAACUGCUUUUGUACGGAACGAAAAGACUCUGGUUAAUACCUGGGGUCCAUGACGGUACCGUAAGAAUAAGCACCGGCUAACUACGUGCCAGCAGCCGCGGUAAUACGUAGGGUGCGAGCGUUAAUCGGAAUUACUGGGCGUAAAGCGUGCGCAGGCGGUUAUGUAAGACAGAUGUGAAAUCCCCGGGCUCAACCUGGGAACUGCAUUUGUGACUGCAUAGCUAGAGUACGGCAGAGGGGGAUGGAAUUCCGCGUGUAGCAGUGAAAUGCGUAGAUAUGCGGAGGAACACCGAUGGCGAAGGCAAUCCCCUGGGCCUGUACUGACGCUCAUGCACGAAAGCGUGGGGAGCAAACAGG